rnacentral:lncRNA from 10 species
CUCAAAGGGAGGGCCGGUCCCUCACCCAGUGUUUCUGAUGCUUGCCCUGUCCUGCACCUGGAAAGGCUGGGAGUAGACACAUGUGAAAGAAGAGAACAGAGCAGACCUGCCUUCCAGGGACAGGAGGGAGCCACGCUGUGCAUGUCCUGCUCUGUCUGAUGGCUGCCACCCGUGGAAAGGUGCUGCCAUUCUGUCUUCCAUACCUGCACAUCUUUCUACAUUAUGUUUAAGGUUUUUUUUUUUUAACUAAUAUGCUCUACAGAGCAGAUGACCUAAAGAAAAUCACCCUGGAGAUUGUCUCAAGAGGAAGGAAAUGGCUCUUGACAUCGUAAAUCACAGAUGUUUGUUUUCAUGGUGUUUUAAAUUCCAGUGACUUCCGGAAGGUGGGAGCCUGCAGGCAUGGCGGAAGAGACCACUGAGUUAUGGAUCAUAAAUCACUGGGGCCACUUGUGGAACCCAGCCUAAAAUCGCCAGCAGCCAAGAUGAGGCUGCCGGGUGGGGGUAACCUGAAGGAGAAGGAUUUAUAAGCAUGGAGGGCCCACCUCUUGUAGGCAAAUUCAUCUUCUGAGGCAGGAAGCAGCAUUAGGAAUGAUCUAGCCCAUCUCCUUGCCCCAGGGUGAGACAAUAAGGGAUCUUCCACUCUGCCCAGCAUCGUACUGUUUGCAGAAGGAGUAAGAAGGGAUAAAGAGGAAGUUAGAAGACUGACCUAGUCACCAAUGACGGGAGGCAAGUAACUUGAUUUCCCUGAGCCUCAGUUUCCUUUCCUAAGGGAAGUAAUUCCUGUCUUGUCUUUCUUAGGGAGUUCUUGUGAGACCCUAAGGAGGGCUGUGUGCCACAGAGCUUUGAACAUCAAAAAGAGCUACACAAAUGGCAGGCAUUUCUUCUCCAGGCUCUCUGGGGAGACAGUGAAUGGUGUCUUUGUGUGAUUCAUUUUGUGUUGAUUCACUCUUGCUGUCAGAAAGGCUUCUGAAUGCCAACCUCCAUCUCUCUCUGCAGCUGUCCCCUGUCGUUACGCCUUGUGAGGUGACGGAGAACAAGGGGUCAGAAUCACCCUAACAAGGCUGCAUCCACUGCUACUGGAAGGAGGCUGGAUGGCGCGGUCAUGCUUCCUAUGCACAGGCAUACAGUUUGCCUUCCCCUUAGGCCACUGUGGGAUGAGAAUUCCAGGAGAAAACGCAGGAAGGAUGCUUGUUAUUUAAUAACAAGCUUGAGGAAAUCACAACAGAGAGGAGGAAGCAAACAGGCUGACAAGUCAGGAUGGCAGCGUGGGGGCCAGCGCCCCCAGUUCACCCACCAUGGGCAUGAUCCAGGAGGCCAGGCAGGGCUGGAAUUAAGAGCACAGGUUUUGGAGUCUCCCAAUCUCACCUGGAAUUCCAGCCGCACCUCUUACUACACACUGGCCUUGGGUAAAUCAUUCUGUCUCUCCAAUACUUAGUGUUCCUUAUCCACUAGGGGGAUUAAAUGAGAUUCCGGAGUGCCCAGCACACAGCCCAUCAAGACCUGUAGGUGUGCCACACUCCACGUUGUCACCAUGACAUCAGCAACCCCUCCUCUUCCCCCACGGAGUCUUCCCCACUUUCUGAAGUCUGAAGAACUGGGACUGGAACAUGUCCAAGGGGCUGCUCGUCACUGCCGGAGGGAUAACUGUUCAGACACUGUCGUCACACAGUCACAGAAAGACUCAGAACUUCAUUGCUACUUUAUUUGUUGUUUUCUGCCUUUAGGAUACUUCCUUAUGAUAAAAAAUGUGAUAUUACUAAAAAAAUAUUAAAAAGUAGGGAGAAAUGCUACCAAGUAUACUCCACAUUUUGGCUUACUUUCUUCCAGAUUUAUAAUGCGUAUUUUGGAUGUAAUUGAGAUUCUACUGCAUGUACAUUUUAUUCUGGUAUUUCACAGGACAUGAUAAGGUAAGCAUGCUGUCAUGCUGUUAAAAACUCUUCAGAGACAUCAUUAAAUGGGCACAUCCUAUUCCAUGGUAGGGCUACACCAGGCCCCCAUUGUUAAAUAUUUAAAUUGUCUCCAAUAUUUUACUGUUGGAAGUCACACUGUCAUAAGAUACUUGUGCAUACGUCUUUGCAUUUUUGUUUAUUUUAUUUGAGCAGAAAUGGGGCUAAAAGUUAUGGAUAUUUUUAAGAUUCUUAAUACAAAUUGCCAAGUUACAUUCCAGAAAAGUCUGGCCAAGUCUUUCCUGUGGCUAGGGUUUAGGAGUUCCUGCUACACACUCACAUCCUCUCCUUCAAUGGCUUGUCCUUAUUCAUCAACAAGCAAAAUAGGGCACUUGCCUUUUUCUUUUUAUCUUUUUAUUUUGAAAUAAUUUCAAACUUAGAGAAAAGUUGCAAGAACAGAGAAAGACACUCACAUAGAUGCUUCCCCUAGAUGGUCCAAUUGCUAACAUUUUUGUCAUAUUUGCUUUAUUAUUCCUCAAUAGAUAGGUAUGUAGGCAGAAAUAUACAUAUGUAACAUACAUACACAUACAUAAACACACAUAUAUUUUUUUGGAAUCAUCUGAGACUAAGUUCCAAACAGGAUGUCCUUUAUGCCUAAAUACUUCAGCAUGUAUUUUAUAGAAACAAAGACAUUUUCAUAUACUGUGAUGAGCAAAAUAAGAAAUUUAACAUGGACACAGUACUGUAACUAAUCUGUAGGCCUUAAAUUUCACCCCAUGCCCUUUAUACCAAAAAAAAUUUAAUAAAAGGGAGUUCAGGAUUCAACCUAAGUCAUGCAUUACACUUAAUUGUCAUAUUUCUUUAGUUCCUUUAAUCUUUAGUUCCUUUAAUCUAAAACAGUUCUCUCCAUCCCUCUGUCUUCCAUGACCAUGACCUUUUUAAAAAGAACAAGCCAGGAUAUUUGUAGCAUGUCCCUCAAUUUGGGUUUGUCUAAUAUUUCCUCCUGAUUAGCUCAGAAUCACGCAUUUUGGGCAGGAGCACCACGGAAGUGAUGUUGGGUCCAUCUUGGGAUAUCACAUUGGGUGGCGUGUCCACAUUUGUUAGUUGGCAUUAUGUCCUAAGGAAAAGUUUUCCUCAUUCUGCCCCGUUUAUUCACUAACUUCCGUAUGUCGGUAUAGACUCAUGGAUUCUUAUUUAAGCUGUUAAUGUCUCCUCUCUUUUGAUGCUCUAAUUAUCCGGGAUUUAGGCAGUAGGAAGCUCUUGGAUGGGACUUCUGUGUCCUUUGACACGACCUCGUCCUUCUGAGAGCAUGACUUUCUGGCACCAGAUGUAGCAAGAAGCUCUCUUGUGCUGACUUUGCCUUUGAUUCCUUUCAGUAAAGCACAAUAUUAGAAACCAAAAUCUAGAUGCUAGACUCACAUAUUGCUCUAGGGGUGUCAUUAUUUCUAAGUCCUUUCAGCAGCUCUCGAGUUGGGAUAUGUACAUAUGUGUGUAUGUACAUAAUCCAUAUUAUAUAUACAUCCAUACAUGUACAUAUGAUAUAGAUGAAUAAAUAUAAUCAUAUUAACAUGGUAUUUCUUUUUAAAUUAGAAUUUUUUAAAUUAUUGCUGAGGUUGAACACUUCCAAAUGUUAUUAGGGUAUCAUACGGCUCCUUUGCACACCUGUCUAUCAGAGUCUUCGCAUUUCUUUAGAUACAUAUUUAAAUAUGGAUAUUAAGGAAAAAUACUACAUUCGUGGUAAGUACUUUCCCAAAUUUAU